ensembl:lncRNA
UCCACCAAAAAAUGUUCAAAGAUUUCCCAAAAAUGUUGAAAAUGUGGACAUCAGAAGUUUCACUGUGAAAUUUUUCAUUAUUUUUUUCCCACAUUUUCAAACUUUAAAUUUUGACCCGCAGGACAACAUGAGGGUUAAAAAAGACCAAGUGUUGCAAUUCAAAAGACAGCUAAUGUUACAAGAUAAAUAAAAAGCAAGUAAUUCAAGGAAUUAUAGAAGUAAUAAAAAAUAAUACAAAUAUUCACAGUGUGCAGGAAUUAUUUUGUUGUUUAUCUGGGUGGAUGUCAACCUGAAAGAGGAGUUAAGAUAGUCAUCGCAACAUGUCAUUUUAAUUGCUUCACAUAGUUAGGUGAAGAAAUUCUAAAAUUAUAGCGAGAAACCCAACAAUUUCGAAAAAAAAAAAAAACACCUCAAUUUUAACAGGAAGAAACCUCCGGCAGAAACGGAGUCAGAGAGAGUGGACGUCUGCUUCGACUGGUCGGGGUGAGGGUGAAAGGGAGAGAGAACAAGGUAGCCCUGUUUUCUCUCCCCUUCACCCUCACCCCAACCAGUCGAGGCAGACGUCCAUCCUCUCUCCCCUUCACCCUCACCCUGACCAGUCGAGGUAGACGUCUACCCUCUCUCCCCUUCACCCUCACCCCAACCAGUCGAGGCAGACGUCCAUCCUCUCUCCCCUUCACCCUCACCCUGACCAGUCGAGGUAGACGUCCACCCUCUCUCCCCUUCACCCUCACCCCAACCAGUCGAGGCAGACGUCCAUCCUCUCUCCCCUUCACCCUCACCCCGACCAGUCGAGGUAGACGUCUACCCUCCCUGAGCCCGGUUCUGCUGGAGGUUUUUCCUGUUAAAAUUGAGGUGUUUUAUUCCAGAUUUGUUGGCUUUCUCUCUGUAAUUUCAUAAUUUCUCCACCUUACUAUGUGAAGUAAUUUGAAUGACAUGUUGUGAUGGUUAUCUUAACUCCUCUUUCAAACCAUCUCUGCCUACAAUAUGAACAUUACAGUCCUCAAAAGAGUGUCCCGUUCCCUUGUCAUUUAGAUGCCUAAGGAAUUGACUCUUCUGUAAUAUACCUUGCACUUAUGAAACAGUUAACUCUUCCCUAUAUAUCCGUCUGCUAUUGACCUAUGAACAUGGCAUCGGUUUUUGUAACAAUGCUUCUUGUUCUGUCCCUAUUAAAUAACCGUAUAAAUAAAUCUGUGCACUCAUGCUGCAUUGGACUGCAUCUACAACAUUGCUCAGCUUGUGUUUGGUGGUUUUAUCUUUAGGGUGAACCACUUUUUGAUGUUGCUGUUUCACAGUGUUGUAUUUUUCAGAAAAGCCUUCUAAGUUCUUCACCAGCUACAUAAGGGGUGCUGUUGGAAAAAUGUUUUGCUGGCUGUUCUUUAUGGAAAUGGUUUGAUGUAUAUCAACAUUCUGGUUAAAGUAUAGCUCCCAAUAUGACUUCCUAUUUAAAAAUCUACAACCUAUGAGCAAGAAAACUAUACUGGUUUGAGAAAUGUAACUGCAAAACACACAAGAUGUUUCCUACUUGAACUUCAUCCUCACUGUAUGUGCAUUUGAGAAUUUAAGUUGUGAGGUUAGAAAACCAUGUUUGUACCUCUACUAUACCUCUUAAAAUCCGAUUUAAGGUAAAGUCAGACAAAUAUUUGCCCUUCAGUAGGUGGUAAACAGUAAAAGAAAUCUUCACAACAACACUCAAACAUCCAAGUGGGAUAGCAUGAAGUAAAAACACCUGUAAGUGUUGGGCUGUCGAAUUUUAAUUUCUUCCUUUGUCCAAUCAACACUCCAAUAUCGAAAGAUUUUCUUAACAGUCACUGGAGAUCGCAAAGACAUAGCAAAUAUGCACUUCUGAGAAGCUGAAACCAGUGAAUUUUCUGUAUUUGGAUUUAAAAACUGUUCUAUUAACAAAUGCCUCCAGCUCUGGGUUUGUGCAGGAUUAUUGUACCACCUCUGGUAUGAUGUGCGUUUAAAAAAACAAAACAAAACUCCAUAGAAAAUAACAAAUACAUAAUUGAGACCAUUUACAUUGCAAACCAACAAAUGCCUUCAAAUCACUGCAAGAAAUAAACAGCUGUGUAUUUGGUUUACUGUUUAUUCCUCUAAUCCACGUCUCAGAAUUUCUUUCUGUGCUCUUAUUGUGAAAUUUUAAAGAACUAAGUCACUAAAGCAAGAACCGUGUGACAGUGAAUGAGUGGGUGAGAAAUAAAGCACAUCAGAGAAUAAACUACAACCCAAAGUAACAUCCUGAAUAUUAACCCUCAUGUCAUCCUGCGGGUCAAAACUGACCCGUUUUAAAGUUUGAAAAUGUGGAAAAUAUAAUUUCACAGUGAAACUUCUGAUGUCCACAUUUUCAACAUUUUUGGGAAAUCUUUGAACAUUUUUUGGUGGAAAAAGAGAAAUGUUGAAAACGUUUCUUAAGAACAUUCACAAAACAAUCAACCAAAAUCCAGCAAAUUUCGCUGGAUUUUGGUUGAUUUUUUUUUGUGAAUGUUCUUAAAGAGAAUCUUAAAAAUUUUACUGAUAUAUAUGGAAUCACUUUAGAUAUUUUUAGGAGUUUUUUGGAAGAUUUUUACUCAUUUUUGAAAAAUAUUUACAGGAAUUUUCUUCCAAAAUUUGGGGAAUUUUUUUUAAAAUAAAACUUUUAAGGGAAACUUUUAAGGAAUUAUUGGAAUUUUCUUCCUAAAGGUUUUUCAAAUUUUCAGAAAUUUGGUGAAUCUUUUUGCUGAAUUUUUGAUUUUUUUUUCAGACAAAGAAACAUUAUUUCUUGGUGCUCGUAAAUGAGGACAACAGGAGGGUUAAGGAAAGAUGAUCCAGGUUCGUACAAAAUUCACUAAAAUUACUGUAAUAAAAAGGAACUAAUAAACACAAUAUUAUUAAAUACAGUUACAUAAAUAAAGCUGACUCUCAAAUAGCUGAUUUUUUCUGACAAAUUGUUUUCCAGGAACAAUUUCAAUUAACAUUUCCAUCACUGUUCUCCUUACUGUUCACAACACUUGGCCAUUUAAUAUUCUCAUUACUAAAAUAAUCCAGCACAGUAAAAUGUUCAAAUACGGCACCGAUGAUAUCAAUAAAUAAUUCAAGCACGGUGAGCGACAUGCAAAUACAAACACGUGAACUGCGAACGUCUCGGAACUUAAAAAACUGACAUAAACAGUGUGACAGAAGAUGCAUCUUUCUAUUCAAACCGCUGCACAAGCAUCGUCUUCUUGGCUUUGAUGCUGUGAGGAGUGGAACCAGGCAGGUGAAGGAGAAGCAGCCGCCCUCCACGUGACCAACGCCCCCCUGCCCC